UGCUUGCUUUUUAGGUGGCUGCUAAAGCUCAGGCAGCUACUGACUAUAUGAAUCUAAAAAUCUGGCAAGCAAGAAGGACUGGUUGACAAUCUAUCUGCAAUUUGUGCUUUAAUUGUAAGUGCAGUCUCUUGUUGUAUAUACUGGACUGAUGCCACUGUUGCAGAGCCAGAAGAGAGCAGAUGCUGCAGAUGAAGCUCCAGCCUCAUUCUGGUCAGCCACUAUCUGAGUGCAUGCAGCUCUCCACUUUCUCUCAGCAGAACUCCUUUGCCUUUUAGAAAAUCCCAUUGAUUUAUCUUCACUCAAGAGUUUGUGCCUCCAGAGUUCCACGUCUCAUCCAGAAAGAGCAUGUUUAUUUUGUUGCUGUUACAGAAAAAUAAUGAAUUCUGCAUUUUCACCAAUAGUAAGAGAAACUGACAAUAAGAACAUCAUGAGAAAAUACUACAGAUCUCAUUAGUUAUCAUAGAAUCAUAGAAUGGCCUGGAUUGAAAAGGACCACAAUGAUCAUCCAGUUUCAACCCCCCUGCAACGUGCAGGGUUGCCAACCACCAGACCAGGCUGCCCAGAGCCACAUCCGGCCUGGAAGUCUAGAUGCUCUUUCAUGUUGUUUGGCAUCUGCUGCAUUUGGCAUUUAGAUGCCUCUAAUCUUUCCUUGAAAGACCAGAUCAAAGGAGGUGAGGUGGAAGUGAAGUAUUGGCUAUGUGGAGCUUCCUUCCUGGAGAGGAAAUUGGAGUGCUGAAUUGUUUUUAAGCCUAAGAAAUACAACAAAAUCCUGAGUCGUGCUGCCUUUUAAAUGUCAGUGAAAUUAGUAGAAGGGAGGUUCCAUUGUGUCUACUCGAUUCUGAUAGUGAUGAUGCAUAAGCAUUGGUUUUAUAUUUCUGAGAUGAAGAUGGCAGAACUGUCUGAGAUCACAACUUUGCCUGGAGAGAAUACGAGAUGAAAACCUGAGGUUUCACUGAUGUCCUUACUUGUAGAUGACCUGUAGAGAAGUGCAGGAAGGCAAAUGGAUCUGAACAAUAAAGAGAGGCUGGUGCUAAAGGAUAAAUGCCUGAGCACUUGGAAGGACUCACUAGGAAGUUCAAUGGCAAGUAAGUACCACAGCAGGGUGAGGGCUCUGCUGGACUGCUGUGCAAAACCACUCGAUGGCUCUGAAGAUGAUGAAAUGCCACAAAGAUGGAGCAGCUGACGUCUGAGGAGAGGCUGAGAAGUCUGAGGAGAAGCUCUGAGGUGCUUACUGGUGUGCCCUUACCGGUGGAGGAAGAAGGAGCCAUGCUCUUCCCCAUGGUACCCAGUGACAGGACGUGAGCAUCAGACACCAACUGAAAUACAGACGCGUUAAGCAUAAGAAAAACGUGUGCUAACGGCCGCCCCUCCUCUCCUUCCCUCGACACCGCGGCUCCCGCCCUGCCGGCUGCCCGCGGCCGCCCACGCGUCGGUGUGGGCUCCGCGCCGCAGCAAGCACCUAGGACAGCUCCCGCCCGCGCCGCCUAUUGGUCCGGGCGCGUCACGUGACCGUGCCAUGCCGCCGGGGGGCCGCGGCCGCCGCUGAUUCAUUGGCUGUAGCGGGGCUCGGCUCGGCUCGGCUCGGCUCGGUUUGGUGCGGCGUUGCAGCUACUGCCACCGCCGCUGGGCGGCGCCACAGCAGGCAGGAAGAUUGGAUAUUUCUCAUACAAGACCUUGAGCUGCACUUCAAGUCCUGCACAUUUAAAAUCUUGUGAAUUGGCAAAGAAGCACAGACCAUUUGGCUAAGUAUUUCCUGCAAACUCCUUUCUCAUCUGCGCUUGAAAGUGGCACAGCUUGCUCGAAACAGUAGCCAUAGGUUAGGGUUGUAGAAAGCUGGGUUCUGUGUAUUUUAGCUCAUGCAGGGCAGAGUCGCUAAGUUUGUGCUUCAUUUCCUCAUUGGCUUCUUUGUGAUUGCAUCUCUUAGACCUUGGGCUGGAGUAAAAAGCAAUGCAGUGGUGAUGAUGGCUGGUUUCUUUGCCCCUCAGAAUAUUGCUGUUAUUAUGGGGACUCGGGGCACAGGAACAGCCUGAGUUGUUAACUUGUUGUAGCCAGCAGCUUCUGAUUUAAUUGCACUGCCUAGCCCAUGGAACUGAUGUAUCAAGCUUGCUUAGCUUUGGACUGCUCAGUUCAAAAGUUGCUGCUUUCUGUGCCUGUUUGGUUUCUGGGAUCUUCAUUGUUUACAAGGGGCCAGCAGUUUGUUUAUUCUAUGAAGCCUAUCAAGUGUUCAGACUCUGCAGCAGUAAGCAGAACGGAAACACGAAAAAUUAAUGUAGUUUUUGAUUGAAAGUGUGCCUCAUUUCUUGCAUCUUCCUCAUUGGUAGUUUAUCUUGCUUCAGAUAUGAAUAAGUAGAUUGACCAGUCUGCAUAAAUUUACUGUUGUGUGUGCAGGUCAGAUUUGGAGGUGGUUGUUGCUGGUUACAUACAAGGCCAGUUCCAGAUGUACGCAAAAUCAGCUUUGCCUUGGUGGCCUCAGUGGCAGCUUAAACCACAAAACUGUGCUUCAGACAUGGUUUGUGUCCAGUUUUUCCCUUAGAGAAUCUUUGGUGUCAUUGUGAAAGUGACAUAUUGAAACGCUUCUCACACAGAAAAAUCUAGGUUGGAAGGGACCUCUGGUGGUCAUCUGGUCUGAUCUCCUGCUCAAAGCAUGUUCAAUUAAAUCAGUUACUCAGGAUACGAUACCCCAGGUGUAGUCUCACCGGUGCUGAAUAGAGAAUAAGAAAUGCUUCUCUUGAUGCGCUGACUGCGCUCGUGUUAAUUCAGGUUCCUGUCAGCUGAAUUUUCCAGCUUAUCUGAGUCCCUCUGGAGAUCAAUCUGCCCUUCAGCCUUUUGUCUGU